AAUUACGUGACCUUCUAUAUCGCGUCGUAUUUGAAAAAGGAGCUGAUUGAACUCAAGAAUCGCUUGAACAGAUUCGUCAAUUAAAGAAAUUAAUGAUAAUGGAGAUGUUGCUGAUGAUCAUUACCACCGAUUCUUGAAGGCAGAUUUGGUGAAGUUAAUCCAAGUGGAAUCAUGUUUUAUAAUAAUAUUAUAGACCAUCUCUUGCUCAGAGGAAUUGAGCCGUUUGUGACCAUAUUCCAUUUUGACUUACCACAAGAACUAGAAGAUAGAUAUGGGUCUUGGCUCAGCCCUCUAAUUCAUUUAACUUCUGUUCACACUCUAUAAGCUUUUCUGUUUCCCU